GUGCCAGCAGCCGCGGUAAUACCGGCAGCCCGAGUGAUGGCCGAUCUUAUUGGGCCUAAAGCGUCCGUAGCUGGCCGCACAAGUCCGUCGGGAAAUCCGCCCGCUCAACGGGCGGCCGUCCGGCGGAACCUGUGUGGCUUGGGACCGGGAGGCCUGAGGGGUACGUCCAGGGUAGGAGUGAAAUCCUGUAAUCCUGGACGGACCGCCGGUGGCGAAAGCGCCUCGGGAGGACGGAUCCGACGGUGAGGGACGAGAGCCAGGGUCUCGAACCGGAUUAGAUACCCCGGUAGUCC
rnacentral:rRNA from 1 species